GACUGUUUCUGUCACUUUUUCUAAAAUAUGAUUGAUUCUGUUUUCUACCGUUAAAAGCAAUUACAGGAGAUCUGACCAAAUUAAAAGUCCUGCUCAAAUGUCAGUUUUCUUUCAAA